rnacentral:tRNA from 1 species
GGGCCCGUAGCCCAGCGGUAGAGCGCUUGCCUUGCAUGUUUGCAUCUGCAAACGGAGAGAGCAAGAGGUCUCGGGUUCAAAUCCCGACGGGUCCA